UCUGAGGAGGAAAAAAAGAAACAUCAACUCCAGUUAGCUGCCAUGUUCCUUAUUCAGAAUGUUCGGUGGAAAGGAUGGCAGGAAGGAAGAUAAAAGGAACAAUUAAGUCCCCAGAAAGGAAUCUCGUGGCAAAGUCUGUAGUACAAAACAGGAGAACUUACUAAUUAAGAGCAUUCCCAUCACAAGCAAGCAAGCACAAAAUGAUGUAAAAUAAUCUUGAGAGGCAUUAGGAGGAGACAAGAUUUGAGCUGGUUUUUGAGGGGGAGGACUCCCUAAGGUGUAAAGUAACUAAUGGCAGAGGCUAGCCCCUGUCGGAGCCUGACCAGCAGCUUCAGAGCCCUUCCUUCUCUCACAGUUCACACAGACCAGCAGGCAAGAGCACAGGUGUGCACCUCAGACAGACGUUUCCGUCUGGCUCAUUAUGAACUCAGAGACUGAACUACCUUCCUGCUUCAAGGAACUGGUGUAAGUGAGGAUGCAUUUCACUAUCUUGCAGAAGAGCUCCUGACCGACAUGGAUUUAGAAUUUAGAAGUAUGUAUACCAUAUUUAGAAGCAAAAGUAUUACAUUUCUUUCAUCAAAAGUC